UCUUUUCAGAAUUGAGUGGCAAACGGGUGAGUAACACGUAAACAACCUGCCUUCAGGAUGGGGACAACAGACGGAAACGACUGCUAAUACCGAAUAAGUUCCAAGAGCCGCAUGGCCCAUGGAAGAAAAGGUGGCCUCUACCUGUAAGCUAUCGCCUGAAGAGGGGUUUGCGUCUGAUUAGCUAGUUGGUGUGGUAAUGGCAUACCAAGGUAACGAUCAGUAGCCGGACUGAGAGGUUGAACGGCCACAUUGGGACUGAGAUACGGCCCAGACUCC
rnacentral:rRNA from 1 species